AUACGGAGGGUGCAAGCGUUAAUCGGAAUUACUGGGCGUAAAGCGCGCGUAGGCGGAUAUUUAAGUCUCAUGUGAAAGCCCUGGGCUCAACCUGGGAACUGCAUGGGAUACUGGGUAUCUAGAAUACAGUAGAGGGUAGUGGAAUUUCAGGUGUAGCGGUGAAAUGCGUAGAGAUCUGAAGGAACAUCAGUGGCGAAGGCGACUACCUGGACUGAUAUUGACGCUGAGGUGCGAAAGCGUGGGGAGCAAACGGAAUUAGAUACCCCGGUAGUCC
rnacentral:rRNA from 1 species